rnacentral:rRNA from 1 species
AUUGAACGCUGGCGGAAUGCCUAACACAUGCAAGUCGAACGAGGUGGAGCAAUACACCUAGUGGCGGACGGGUGAGGAACACAUAGGAAUCUACCUUUUAGUGGGGAUAACCCGGGGAAACUCGGAUUAAUACCGCAUACGAUCUACGGAUGAAAGUGGGUGACCGCAAGGCCUCACGCUGUUAGAUGAGCCUAUGUCCGAUUAGCUAGUUGGUAGGGUAAUGGCCUACCAAGGCGACGAUCGGUAGCUGGUUUGAGAGAACGAUCAGCCACACUGGAACUGAGACACGGUCCAGACUCCUACGGGAGGCAGCAGUGGGGAAUAUUGGACAAUGGGCGCAAGCCUGAUCCAGCAAUUCCGCGUGGGUGAAGAAGGCCU